GGAAAAGGUACAAAUGUUGUUGCUGUGGGAGGAGGAGAAAUGUCGUCUUUUCUAAUCUACCCUUAUAUUCUGAAUGGAACCCAGAUUGAAGACAUGUAUAGGGAAGCCUUUCUAUGUCGGAUAAAAGAAGAAAUGCUGGUCUUUGUCGUCAGAAGUCUAUCUUCUCUGACCAAAAAUAUGCGGACUCGCAUUUUUCGUGUUCGGGUACUUCGCAAAGAUGAACGCCUCCUUUCCAACAAGAAAUUUGAUGAAGAUUCCUUCAGCAAAUAUUUGAGUGGUGUAGGAACAAUGAAAACAAGGAUUGACUGUGCACGGGAUAUCCCUGAAUCACGAGAUUU